GACGAACGCUGGCGGCGUGCUUAACACAUGCAAGUCGAACGCUGAAGCUCAGCUUUUGUUGGGUGGAUGAGUGGCGAACGGGUGAGUAACACGUGAGUAACCUGCCCCCUUCUUUGGGAUAACGCCCGGAAACGGGUGCUAAUACUGGAUAUUCACUGGUCUUCGCAUGGGGGUUGGUGGAAAGGGUUUUUCUGGUGGGGGAUGGGCUCGCGGCCUAUCAGCUUGUUGGUGGGGUGAUGGCCUACCAAGGCUUUGACGGGUAGCCGGCCUGAGAGGGUGACCGGUCACAUUGGGACUGAGAUACGGCCCAGACUCCUACGGGAGGCAGCAGUGGGGAAUAUUGCACAAUGGGCGCAAGCCUGAUGCAGCGACGCCGCGUGAGGGAUGGAGGCCUUCGGGAUGUGAACCUCUUUCGCUCAUGGUCAAGCCGCAACAAUGGUUGUGGUGAGGGUAGUGGGUAAAGAAGCGCCGGCUAACUACGUG
rnacentral:rRNA from 1 species